rnacentral:rRNA from 1 species
CCGACCUCAGAUCAGGCGGGACUACCCGCCGAAUUUAAGCAUAUUAAUAAGCGGAGGAAAAGAAAACAACCGUGAUUCCCUUAGUAGCGGCGAGCGAACAGGGAAAAGCCCAUCGCCGAAUCUCGCCGCGCACUUUUGUGUCGCGGCACGUAUGAGAGUUGUGGCGUACGGGCCGGCCCGUUGUCGGGGCGCACGUGACGGUCCAAGUCUCCCUUGAAAGGGGCCAUA